UCAAUGACGUAGAACUGCGUAUGAGAAAGGCUUAGGUGGAUAACUGUACUUUGGUUUCUGACUUUCUGCGGAAGAAUGUGGUUCUGCCAGGAGUUUAAUACGUGUUAUGUUUUAGUAUUCUUUUGGUAUAUGUUCUUGUGUUGGAGGGAAUCUUAUGAAGAAUAUGGAGAAAUGUAUGUUGAUCUCAUGAAGUUAAUGUCAAUAUUAUCAACUUUGCACUAAUACGUAUUUCAUAUUCUACAGCUGUCUCACAGCCGCAUUUAGUUGGUAUAAAGGAAUCUACACAGCCAAGCCCAGACAGGAAUACACUGGAGGCUGGUACAGUUGGCAAUAUAGCUCAAGCAAGGCCUUCUGUUACGGAGGAAAGUGUUGUACAGUGGGCUAAAAAUGAUAAGAGAAGAUUACUUCAUGCUGUUUAUAGCGUUAGAGAUUUAGAUAAGACGAUAAAAUUCUAUACGGAGUGCCUUGGCAUGAAGGUAUUGCGGAAAAGAGACAUCCCAGAGGAGAGAUUUUCAAAUGCCUUUCUUGGUUUUGGACCCGAAGAGUCACAUUUUACGGUUGAACUUUCAUACAUCCCACAAACAUAGUAUACCCAUCUUGUUGCAUUUCAUGCUCACUUCUACAUGGAGCCAGAGACCUCAGAUAGUGGUUCGAUGACAAUUGGGGCUGCUGGUGGUCGUGGAGGUAUCGCUUCAGUAGGCGGGAGAAGUACAAGAUCUCCUACUUCUAAUUAAAUUGUGCGACCUCUUCCUGGCCUGAAAGAGAAAGUUAAGAAUGUCAUGUUUUAAGAACGUUAAGAACGUUACUAUUGGGCCUCGGAGCCUCAGAGUUUGGCUACUGAAUGUUUUAUAAAGAAACUUAUUCAUCAGAAAAUGAGGAUGAGGUUAGAGACAUGUGGGUCGAGUAUUUUCUCAAGCAUGAAGCAGAUGAAGAAAACCAAGUUGAUGGUAUGAAAAUAACUCCACGAGUUUUGGUUCCAAUUGUUGGUAAAAUUGGCAUGAAUGAUUAUAUUUUGGAAUUGAUUUUUGUUUUACGUUUUUGGAAAUUGCGAUGUAAAUCUUUGACGUUUAUGCAAAUUACAAUUUAUGUAAAGCUUGCGUUUUGAGCAUUACUUGUGGGAAAUAUUUUUUUUGGUAAUAUAUGGAUUAUGGA